UACGAAGGGUGCAAGCGUUAAUCGGAAUUACUGGGCGUAAAGGGUGCGUAGGCGGUUGUUUAAGUCUGUCGUGAAAUCCCCGGGCUCAACCUGGGAAUGGCGAUGGAUACUGGCGAGCUAGAGUGUGUCAGAGGAUGGUGGAAUUCCUGGUGUAGCGGUGAAAUGCGCAGAUAUCAGGAGGGACACCCGUGGCGAAGGCGGCUCUCUGGGACGGUACUGACGCUGAGACGCGAAAGCGUGGGGAGCGAACAGG
rnacentral:rRNA from 1 species